AUGGACUCAGGGGUAGUCCUACACCAAGGGCAGAAGGGGUCACAAGACACGUAGGCGCUGCAAGUGAGCACUGAGCGUGGUGUGGCCCCAGGGCCCGUAUUUAUAAAACUAUGAUUCGACAUAAGGGAAACAUAAGUUCACAAGAUGGCGGACACCAUGACUUACAUGAAACAUAAGUCUUAUGUCUCACGUUAGGUCAUCAUAAACUCGCAUUCCCGUUAUGUUUGGGUGGGAGCAAGAAUAGCAUCGCUAUGUCGAAUCAUAGUCAACAUGGCGGAGGCAGUGGGACAGAGACGACGCUACCUGAGAAGUUUUCGUGAUCGUAGAGACGUGUUGGCUGAACUAAGUGACUCAGAACUGAUAAGAGAUGGUGCUCAACCUCUACAACCCGUUGCUACAUCAUCCACUGAGACGGUGGAUGUCUCGGCACCAGCAGGAGGUUCAGCCGUUAGGCAUUGGAAGUGCUGCGGUAGCAUUUCCAUCUGUACUGUUAUGAACAAUGACAACAAAUGUUAGUUAAACCAUCACAAGCAAAUUUAUUGCAGAUCUAUCUCACUGUCUAUAUAAGAGGUAAACAAUCCUUUCAAGCAGGAAGUAUCUUCCUGCCCCCCAUACUCCUCAUACACAGUGUAUAUGGUGUGUGUGUGAUUGCCUCAUUUUUGCUGUCUUCCUCCUGGAGGAGGGUGUUGGCUUUGUCUAUACAUAGAUAGAUAGUUAAUGUCCUUACACUUCAGUUUUAAAGAUAUUUUGUAUGCUCUUAAUGAUAUUUUCAGCAGUAGGGUAAUGUGCUGUUAUUGUGUUGCAGACAGGUACGGAGUGCACUUGUCAUUAAGACACAUUCAUGUGUGGAUGCAUUUCUUGUGAGCUACCAUUUCCAACCUUCCAUAAUUGAAUAUCAACAUAGGAAAUUCUUCAUAUCAAUGAGACCCAUCAAUUUGAUUAGGUUAAGUUACUGGAAAUUAUACUCUGUUAGUUUAGAGUUAAAGUUAGUUAUGUGUAAGGUGGCAGAAGUUGUCCUUUAUACCUGGAAGCAUUAAAUACAAUAAAUGGAUAGUUUGUU